GAGUUUGAUCCUGGCUCAGAUUGAACGCUGGCGGCAGGCCUAACACAUGCAAGUCGAGCGGUAGAGAGAAGCUUGCUUCUCUUGAGAGCGGCGGACGGGUGAGUAAUGCCUAGGAAUCUGCCUGGUAGUGGGGGAUAACGCUCGGAAACGGACGCUAAUACCGCAUACGUCCUACGGGAGAAAGCAGGGGACCUUCGGGCCUUGCGCUAUCAGAUGAGCCUAGGUCGGAUUAGCUAGUUGGUGAGGUAAUGGCUCACCAAGGCGACGAUCCGUAACUGGUCUGAGAGGAUGAUCAGUCACACUGGAACUGAGACACGGUCCAGACUCCUACGGGAGGCAGCAGUGGGGAAUAUUGGACAAUGGGCGAAAGCCUGAUCCAGCCAUGCCGCGUGUGUGAAGAAGGUCUUCGGAUUGUAAAGCACUUUAAGUUGGGAGGAAGGGCAGGUAAAUUAAUACUUUAGCUGUUUUGACGUUUACCGACAGAAUAAGCACGGCUAACUCUGUGCCAGCAG
rnacentral:rRNA from 1 species